rnacentral:lncRNA from 1 species
AAUAAUUAAGAGUAUGCUCGCCAAGGAUUCACAUCCUUGUGCCUACGUAUUCUCAUUGUGCAAAGAGAAAAUCAGAGCAAUCGUAGUUCAUAGAACCACGAGAACAAAGAGAGAGAUAGAAAGUGAUGAAAAGUAUAACUUGUACCAACAGAAUGGUAUCAAGGGAACCCACAAAUGGAAAGUGAACUUGGAACCAAAGAGUAAAACUGGCGUUUAUCGAUAUGUGCGCUAGCAUGGCUGCCGCUAUAGGGUAAGGCCAAAAAC